rnacentral:rRNA from 1 species
GAUGAACGCUGGCAGAAUGCUUAACACAUGCAAGUCUACUUGAACUUCGGUUUGGGUGGCGGACGGGUGAGUAACGCGUAAAGAACUUGCCUCACAGAUAGGGACAACAUUUGGAAACGAAUGCUAAUACCUGAUAUUAUGAUUUUAGGGCAUCCUAGAAUUAUGAAAGCUAUAUGCACUGUGAGAGAGCUUUGCGUCCCAUUAGCUAGUUGGAGAGGUAACGGCUCACCAAGGCGAUGAUGGGUAGCCGGCCUGAGAGGGUGACCGGCCACAAGGGGACUGAGACACGGCCCUUACUCAUACGGGAGGCAGCAGUGGGGAAUAUUGGGCAAUGGACCAAGAGUCUGAUCAAGGAAUUCUGUGUGUAAGAUGAAGUUUUUCGGAAUGUAAAGUGCUUUCAGUUGGGAAGAAAAAAAUGACGGUACCAACAGAAGAAGUGACGGCUAAAUACGUG